CAUUUUGAUUUGGCCUCCCGCUGCGAACGGGACUGCUUUGUCUCGGCCGACAGAACCAGCAAGCCAGAAAGGUACCGAAACUGGGAACCGAUGUUCCUCUGGAACCAGCAUGAAAACUCCACAAAAUCCCUAGUUUGUCUCCACAGUGUUCUUAUUCCAAGUGUGCUGAGAGAAAAGGCCAGACAUGGAUACCUUAAUUUUGUAAAACAGAAAGGUCAUGCUUCAACUCAGGCUUUCAGCUCCAUUCAUAUACGAAGCUAACAAAUCAAUCAAGGCAUGUAUGUAUAUUUCUCAGCCCUGCUUGUUUAUGUCAGAUGGGCCUGCCAUAUGUAGUCUCUAUACAUUUUAUGCCCACAUGUUUAUAUCCCGCAGAUAAUCCAUCUGAGAUUGAUUUCCACUUUACUUUUAAGUCCCUGGAGCUGACAGUGAAAAUAUCCAUCCUGAAAUACAAGCCGAAGUUGCGAUUUUUGCCAAAGAAGAACAAAAAGAGCUAAUUUUUUUUUCUCUUGUAGCUCUGUUAUGGAUCUAUUUAAAGUAAUGUUCCUGUGGCUUGUUACUAGAUUUCGCCGGAGAAGAAAGUUACCAUCGGGACGCUGUACUUCUCCAGUUUCACGCUCGCUCUGGAUUUCCCUCCUGCCCCCCCUUCUCCCCCCAGCAGCACUAAAAGCAAAAGGAUGGUGUGAGGGAAACACAAAGAAGGUCCCUUGCAGAGAAACACAUCCUGACAUCAAGCAUUUUCAUCACGGCUGACAGAGAAAUGGCAUGUUCAAUUUGCACUUUAUUUACAAACGCUAAACAUCUACGCACACAUGCCUACCCACCUUUCAUAUCCCUGUAUCUGAAACCCAAGCGAGGAAAACAGCCCAUGCGCGUGAAGCAAGCGAGGGAAUGUGCCGCUGCCUCAUCCAGCACGUUUACAAAUGGACCAACCACAAAUACACCACAGGGAAAUGUGCUUCUCUGUGUGCCAAAAUGCCAGGAUGUUAAUUCACAGAGAUGGCAAGGCCUGCUGAGAAUCAAGGUCUUCUGGACAUGGCACAGCCUUUGUGCUCCUGAACUCAUAGCAGCCGUGGUUAUCUGCAUGAGACACACAUAUCUCUGUUCAGCGUGUUGGUGUAACUGAGAUAAAUGCCAAGCUGGCUCCCUGCUGUGCGUGGUCCGACACCCCUUGGCCAUAGAGAUUCCAGCUAUUUAAGUUUGGAAAUGACAUUUCUUCACACGUCUUCCAAGAUAGCAAUGUAUGUCAAUCACCGGGAGCUCUGCCAAUGACAAUGCCAAUGGAUUUGAAUUUCCCAUUCAUGCUAGGGUGAAGGGGCUAUCUCUUUGACUUCUCCGACUGGGGCCUUUCAUCUCACCCAGGAAAGUUUAUUUCCCAAGGAAUUUUCUUUGUGGUCUCAAACUUGAAUGACCUUCCUUUUAUAACCUCUGAUAUCACCCAGGGUUUUAUUGCCAGGAAGUACCUCUUAGUUGACAUGCUUAAUACUGGGUUCCUGUGAUCUAUUCUAGGGAACCCCGAAACUUAGAGAGAAAACUGAGGAAAAUGAUCUGGUUUCCAGGUUUGGGAAUACCACUGAACCACUGACCCUUAAGGAUACAUGGAAAAAUAACCUGUAACAUUCAAAUUCUACAAAAUACAUUGUGUUCAUACAA
rnacentral:lncRNA from 1 species